CAGGCAUUCUUAGGAGGGAUGGUUACUGAGCGGCAUGGCAGCGCCUGCCGCAAGAGUGGACUGCAGUCUAGGGAAGGGGCCAGCUGAAAAGAUGUAACUAACAGGCAGGCAGUUAAAUAGCGUGGAUCUGAAUGAGACCAGCGUGGUCGUUGGCGGCGUGGUGGAAUUAGCCUCGAGAGCUCUGUUAGAGCCUAGCAUGGCCAUCUUCUGAAAGGCCCAACAAGCAGCCGACUGAGGCAGACACAGAUACACCCUACCAAUGGACUGAAGUCUGGGAUCCCUGUGGUUGAAUUAGGGAAAGGCUGGAAGAAGCUGAGGAGGAGCGUGAGCCCAGGAGGGAGACCAGUAGUCUCAACUAACCUGGACCCCUGAGAUCUACAGCAGAAGACUGCCUGUUCUGGCCUCAGUGAGAGAAGAAGCAUCUAACCCUUGAGAGCAAGAGACUUGAGGCCCCCAGGGAAUGGGGAGACCAGAAACUCAUCCAUGUGACCCGGAAAGUGCCUUAAACUCAGACCAUUGCCGACUGCAUGUGUAUGUUUCCUGCUCAGAGCUAUGCAAAACUACAAGGCCUUCCACAACAUAAAGUCUUAAGCACUGAGAGUCCUCACCAGCCCUUUAUCUUUCUCCUUUGUGAAGUGUUCCUCUUCUGUUGCAUUGUGGAUGAACGGGGGCCAGGAAAUAGAG